GACGAACGCUGGCGGCGUGCCUAAUACAUGCAAGUCGAACGCACAGUUUAUACCGUAGCUUGCUACACCAUAGACUGUGAGUUGCGAACGGGUGAGUAACGCGUAGGUAACCUGCCUGGUAGCGGGGGAUAACUAUUGGAAACGAUAGCUAAUACCGCAUAAUAUUGAUUAUUGCAUGAUAAUUGAUUGAAAGAUGCUAUUGCAUCACUACCAGAUGGCCCUGCGUUGUAUUAGCUAGUAGGUGAGGUAACGGCUCACCUAGGCGACGAUACAUAGCCGACCGGCGAGGGGGAUCGGCCAACCUGGGACUGAGACACGGCCCAGACUCCUACGGGAGGCAGCAGGAGGGAAUCUUCGGCAAUGGACGAAAGUCUGACCGAGCAACGCCGCGGGAGUGAAGAAGGUUGUCGGAUCGGAAAGCUCGGUUGUAAGAGAGGAACGGGUGUGAGAGUGGAAAGUUCACACUGUGACGGUAUCUUACCAGAAAGGGACGGCUAACUACGUG
rnacentral:rRNA from 1 species